CCUGCCUCCUGGAUGUAUUACAGGUGUGGCUUCUGUUUCAUAUGUGUGUCAGUGGGUGUCAGAGAAGACAAAGACUAUAUCUCUGGUUAGUAUUUUGACCUAUGAACAUCUGAAUGAUGUAGCCUAACAUU